rnacentral:rRNA from 1 species
UACGGGGGGGGCAAGCGUUGUUCGGAAUUACUGGGCGUAAAGGGCGCGUAGGCGGUCAGACCAAGUCGAAUGUUAAAUUCCAGGGCUUAACUUUGGACGGUCGUUCGAUACUGGUCGGCUAGAGUGUGGAAGAGGAUGCUGGAAUUCCCGGUGUAGCGGUGAAAUGCGUAGAUAUCGGGAAGAACACCCGUGGCGAAGGCGGCUCUCUGGAACGCAACUGACGCUGAGACGCGAAAGCGUGGGGAGCAAACAGG